CUAUGUCUAAGAUUAGAUAUGGCGGAAGGAG
rnacentral:ncRNA from 1 species